AUGAUGGACUAUAGGACAGGACUGCUGCUGUUAACUCUCUGCUGGGCAGGUGUUGAUGGUCAGACUCUGACAGAAUCUGAACCAGUGGUUAAAAGGCCUGGAGAAUCCCACAGACUGACCUGUACAGCCUCUGGAUUCACAUUCAGCAGCUACUGGAUGCACUGGGUCAGACAGGCUCCUGGAAAAGGACUGGAGUGGAUUGCCAUUAUCAGUGGUAGUAGUAGCAUCUACUACUCUCAGUCAUUCCAAGGCCGGUUUACCAUCUCCAGAGACAACAGCAGACAGCAGCUGUAUCUGCAGAUGAACAGUCUGAAAACUGAAGAUUCUGCUGUUUAUUAUUGUGCUCGACACUCACAGAGUAGGAAGAAUAACUGGGUGCAGGAAGAGAAAGGCGAAGCCAUUUCUUGA